rnacentral:rRNA from 1 species
UACGGGGGGGGCAAGCGUUGUUCGGAAUUACUGGGCGUAAAGGGCUCGUAGGCGGCCAACUAAGUCAGACGUGAAAUCCCUCGGCUUAACCGGGGAACUGCGUCUGAUACUGGAUGGCUUGAGAUUGGGAGAGGGAUGCGGAAUUCCUGGUGUAGCGGUGAAAUGCGCAGAUAUCAGGAGGAACACCGGUGGCGAAGGCGGCUCUCUGGACCGAGACUGACGCUGAGGCGCGAAAGCGUGGGGAGCAAACAGG